rnacentral:rRNA from 1 species
GAUGAACGCUGGCGGCGUGCCUAAUACAUGCAAGUCGAGCGAACAGAUAAGGAGCUUGCUCCUUUGACGUUAGCGGCGGACGGGUGAGUAACACGUGGAUAACCUACCUAUAAGACUGGGAUAACUUCGGGAAACCGGAGCUAAUACCGGAUAACAUAUUGAACCGCAUGGUUCAAUAGUGAAAGGCGGCUUUGCUGUCACUUAUAGAUGGAUCCGCGCCGUAUUAGCUAGUUGGUAAGGUAACGGCUUACCAAGGCAACGAUACGUAGCCGACCUGAGAGGGUGAUCGGCCACACUGGAACUGACACACGGUCCAGACUCCUACGGGAGGCAGCAGUAGGGAAUCUUCCGCAAUGGGCGAAAGCCUGACGGAGCAACGCCGCGUGAGUGAUGAAGGUCUUCGGAUCGUAAAACUCUGUUAUCAGGGAAGAACAAAUGUGUAAGUAACUGUGCACAUCUUGACGGUACCUGAUCAGAAAGCCACGGCUAACUACGUG